GUGAGGAAUAUUGGGCAAUGGAGGCAACUCUGACCCAGCCAUGCCGCGUGCAGGAAGACGGUCCUAUGGAUUGUAAACUGCUUUUAUACGGGAAGAAACACCCCCUCGUGAGGGGACUUGACGGUACCGUAAGAAUAAGGAUCGGCUAACUCCGUGCCAGCAGCCGCGGUAAUACGGAGGAUCCAAGCGUUAUCCGGAAUCAUUGGGUUUAAAGGGUCCGUAGGCGGCCUUAUAAGUCAGUGGUGAAAUCUCCUAGCUCAACUAGGAAACUGCCAUUGAUACUGUAGGGCUUGAAUUAUUGUGAAGUAACUAGAAUAUGUAGUGUAGCGGUGAAAUGCUUAGAUAUUACAUGGAAUACCAAUUGCGAAGGCAGGUUACUAACAAUAUAUUGACGCUGAUGGACGAAAGCGUGGGUAGCGAACAGGAUUAGAUACCCGGGUAGUCC
rnacentral:rRNA from 1 species